GCCGGGCGAGGUGGCGGGCGCCUGUAGUCAGCUACCGGGAGGCUGAGGCAGGAGAAUGGCGUAACCCGGGAGGCGGAGCUUGCAGUGAGCUGAGAUCCGGCCAUGCACUCCGAGCCGGGCUACGGAGCAGACUCGUCUCAAAAAAAAAAAAAAAAAAAAAAAUUAUUUCUUAUAGCUGCCUAUGAUUUUUAUUUUGCACUAUUUAUGUGGAAUUUUCUUUUUUUUUUUUUUUUUUGAGCCAGAGUCUCGCUCUGUGGCCCAGGCUGGAGUGCAGUGGCCGGAUCUCAGCUCACUGCAAGCUCCGUCUCCGGUUUCAUGCCAUUUCCUGCCUCAG
rnacentral:SRP_RNA from 1 species